CUACGUGCCAGCAGCCGCGGUAAUACGGAAGGUCCAGGCGUUAUCCGGAUUUAUUGGGUUUAAAGGGAGCGUAGGCGGAUUAUUAAGUCAGUGGUGAAAGACGGUGGCUCAACCAUCGUUAGCCAUUGAAACUGGUAGUCUUGAGUGCAGACAGGGAUGCUGGAACUCGUGGUGUAGCGGUGAAAUGCUUAGAUAUCACGAUGAACUCCGAUCGCGAAGGCAGGUGUCCGGGCUGCAACUGACGCUGAGGCUCGAAAGUGUGGGUAUCAAACAGGAUUAGAUACCCUGGUAGUCCACACAGUAAACGAUGUAUACUCGCGGUUUGCGAUAGAUUGUAAGCCGCCAAGCGAAAGCAUUAAGUAUACCACCUGGGGAGUACGCCGGCAACGGUGAAACUCAAAGGAAUUGACGGGGGCCCGCACAAGCGGAGGAACAUGUGGUUUAAUUCGAUGAUACGCGAGGAACCUUACCCGGGCUUGAAC
rnacentral:rRNA from 1 species